UAGACCUUCAGUGUGUGACAGGUUAGUACAGUGGUGAACCUAUAGACCUUCAGUGUGUGACAGGUUAGUACAGUGGUGAACCUAUAGGUCUUCAGUGUGUGACAGGUUAGUACAGUGGUGAACCUAUAGGACUUCAGUGUGUGACAGGUUAGUACAGUGGUGAACCUAUAGACCUUCAGUGUGUGACAGGUCAGUACAGUGGUGAACCUAUAGGACUUCAGUGUGUGACAGGUUGGUAUUUCUGAAAGGACAGCAACUGCAAUAACAUCACACUCAUGUAGGAGGGUGGACUUUUUUAUAAAACACAAAGGGCCGGUGGUGUAGGGAAGGCUAUACACGGGUAUAAACUGUAUAUACACUUUUUUUCAGUGGGCAUUGCGUAUACUGACUUCUUAAUCCCUACUGAUGCGUAUCCUAGCAGUGUAGUGGAGGUAUACGUCUUAUCAAUUACAUAGUACAAUAGAGAAAUCAUGCACAAAGUAGCCCACACAAUCGCAAAGUACAUGAAAUAUAUUCACAUGCGCACAGCACACACAGCCUAGUUUUAGCGGAAUAUUAUCUGCUGGCAGCAAAAGUGUGCAGCUCUCAAGGUGUUUUGGCAUGGAGCAGCUCACAGAACAAUGCCAUCGGUAGCCGGUAGGGUAGGUAAGACGUUUCAACUUUCUACUAGUAAAUGAUAACUAAGGCAACAAUGGGUAUGCAAACCAGGUAUUGAAAAAAGUUUAAUCCACAGUGUUGGUUAGUAGGCUAGACAUGGAUGAGCCUGGGUGGACUAAGGCCCACCCAAUGGGGAGCCAGGCCCUGACAGGCCCACCCAAUCAGAUUGAUGUGGUUGAAGCAUUGUUGUGGACUUAGAACAUCACAUUUUAGUAUAUUUUCAUUUUUUUUUAAAUAGGUGUGAUUUUGAGAGUGAAAAUCUGCUAAAUCUAUGGGAAACUCAUUUAACGUGGGAAACAGGGUUUUUCACACAGGUGCCUUUCCUUCGCUAGGCGUGCCGUUUGGGAACUUUUUUAGCUAAAUGUGAGUAUUCCCACUUCUCCAGGCACCACCACACCACUGCAUAGGGCUGAUGGAAGGACAGCAGUCACACACAGCAUGACGUUAAAGUAUAAGUAGUCAAUAAACUCGGACAUAAUAAAACAUUAGUUCCCCAUCAUAAGAAUACAAAAACACAACCAUUAAGCAUUUCCCAAUCAAAAUUGACAACUAUUACCUCCCAUUGCCAAAAACAUUUCACGUUUAGCACCGUUGACCUAAAGUGUAAAGUGGAACUGGCAGCGUUUUAACUACUUUGCAGAUAUAAAACAAACAGACAAUCAUAAUAUCAGUCAAAAAUAGUUUAUGCUACAAAACCAACUUCAUAUGAUAUUUUUAAAAUAGUUUAAAUUUGACUCAACGUUCCAUGACAUAGAGUAAGGCAUUGUUGGCAGAAUAGAUGGAUGCAGUUCAAUGCAUGAUUAAUAUAAUUCACCAAUACAUUUCUUGGUAGUCCAAAACAUAUUGCUGUCAGGUUGUAAAUCACAGCUGGCCUGGUACAUUGUUCGCUCCAACCCCCGCCCCUUUCCCACCGCACCGCCCCCAAUUCGGGAUGCACUGUUUCAAUUUCAAAGACUCAGUAUUCUGGACAAAAAUGGACGAAUGUAACUCUGUGAAUGUCAAUACAAUCAAACUAGCAAGGGCAAUGGUCACAAGUCAGUCAUUACGUGGCUAAUAGGCUAGCAUAUCUAUGUAUGUAGCAGGCUAAAAACACGGAAGCUAGAUAGCUAGCUGCUAGCGGGAUGUCAUGCCAUUGAAGGAGUGGGUAAGUGACUGACUUUUUCCCCCUCAUAUCGGUGGCUAUACACAGCUAGAGAUGCAGGUGUCAUUUGGUUAGCUAGCAAGAACUUGAAUGAGUGUUACCCAGUUAGCAUAUCUCUUGCGUUCACAAAUUCACUCUGGCUAUCUACUCCAAUAUUAGAGAGCUCUCGCCUGAGUGUGCCAGAGCGCAGAACAACUGAUGAAUUUACGAAUGCGCAACACCCGCUGAAUAUGACCAGUAUCAGUAAAUGUAGACAAAAAAAGUAAGAGUUAGUCAAGAACGCUCUAGAUAAAAUGUAAAAAGCCUAACUAGCUCUGCUACUGUGAGUAAAAUGGUCAGAGUGAGGUGUUCUCUCAUUUGUGUUUGGAAGUAGCUAGCUAUCAAGCUAGCCAACUUUAACCAGUUAGCUUUGGUGCUUGGUUGGGACAAGCAUGCAUUGGCAGACAAGCUGUAGAAGGACGAGGAGGCUACAAUUUUGUGGCUUUUGGUGAAUGCGUUCUAAUGAUCUAAAGUCACGCUGUUGCAACUUCCUGUAAACACACAGUCCAGUUCAAAGUGAAUGAUGGCAGGCCCAUGUGACAAAUGGCUUGUUUGUUUAAAAGGCCUACUGUAGCUCUGAUUGACUAUAGCGCACCGGUCUGUGUAGACUCCGGUCCUGGACAAGACAGAUGUUUUUAUUUACUUUUUUAUUUACUGCAUUGUCCAAAUGCACGGCCACUUUCCCACUCUAUAUUGCUAUAGAAUUUUCAAAAAUGCCUUAGUAUACAUAAUUCCCAAACAUUCUAAUAAUUUAUGAAAAUGUGAUCGCUUGUCAGAAAAUGUUUUUUAAAAAGUGUCAUUCUUCCUGAGGGUGUAUGUAGAUGAACAGAUUUGAAUAAGAUGUCAUGUUGCUAAAAUGCUGUAAGCUCCACUUUAAAUGCAACAAUGUUUCACACACCCAAGUUAUUUUCAAAGAGAUGGCUAACACCACAAACACGCUGCAAUAAAAAACACAGUUCCACUCACCAGAUGAUGAUCAUUUGAAACACAGCUUCUUGUUGACAGUUAUUCUUGAAAAGAGAGAAGCUAACAAAUUAGCAAACUAGCCUCUUUGAUUACACCUGCUGCAGCUGCUGCAAACUAGCCAACAACAAAUGCUAGCUAGACUGUGGGAAAACUACUGCUCGCUAAUGCGCAGUGACCUGUUGGGCCUUCAAGAAGGCAGAAGUUUCCAUACAUUUUGGAAAAGCGGUCCCACCCAUUAAGUCAAAAUGUGAUUGGUUGAUUCCACUGUCACUCCAAUAUUUUGCCCAAAUACAGUUGAAUGGCAGAUGCCUUUAUCUAGCUUCUGAUGGACUUGCCAAUGGCUGACUUAUCCAGCUAAAUUUAUCUCCCCAGAGACCAGCAAAGAAAAUCCUGUUUGGAUCUUUUUUUCUCUUCAGUGUAAACCCUUUCCUUCAGAACAAAUCAGAACAUCAUUGAAAAUAAUAAUAUAAUUAUCAUUAUUAUUAUAUUAUUAUAAUCAUUAUUUUAUAAAUCCUUAGCCCUUGUCUAAAGGCUUAGAAGGCCCAUUGUUCCCCACUGUGUUUGGGUUAGUAAUAUUUGUAGAGCGGCUCUAUUUUCCUCAUCAUGCAUUUCUUCACUAUUCUGAAUGUCUAAAGAAUCCAAAUGUUGUUCUGAAAUAUGAACACAGAAAUACUGGACAUUUUGAACUCUUGUUAUUGUGGUGAUUUGACAAAAGUACAAUCAUGGUCUUGAAUUGGACUCGCAUUUUACUGGUCUCGGUCUUGACUCGGUCUCGGAAACCUCUUGUCACCCUCCCGGUCUCGGACACCCCCCCUUGACUCAGUGACUCGGAUUCGAUUUAUUUGCAUGAGCGAUAAACGGGAUUUCCUGCCGCUAAACUCCGCUCACAUACUCUGAAUGAGGGUUAUGGUUAGGUUAGGGGUUAGGGAAAAUAGGAUUUUGAUUUGGAAUACAUUUUUACUCCCCAAACGUCCUGAAAAGUGUGUGGUGUGGGUGUGUGUGUACAUGGUUUCCAACCUUAUCAGGAUCAUAAUGUCCUAACAAUUCACCAGAAUGGCCUGAUAAGGUAGGAAAACAAGGACAUUUCUGAAGAGUCUGGACUUUGUUAAAUGUCCUGAAUUUGCUAAAAUGCUAUUUUAGGCUUAAGGGUUAGGUUUACGUUUUGGGGUUAGGAUUUUGUGUGUGCCUGUGUGUGUGUGUUUUUGGUUUUACUAUUCUUGUGGGGACCAGAAGUCCUCACAAGGACAGUAAAACAAGGAACAUUCAGACAAGUGGAAACAUUUAGCCGAUCCAUACAAGGAAAAAGGCAUUUUCAGGGGUUAGGUUUGGGUUUAGGAUUACAUUUAGGGUUAAGGUUCAGGUUAGGUUUAAGGUUUAGGAUUACAUUUAGGAUUAGGGUUUAGUUUCAGGUUAGGUUUAAGGUUUAGGAUUACAUUUAGGGUUAGGGUUCAGGUUCAGGUUAGGUUUAGGAUUACAUUUAGGGUUAGGGUUCAGGUUAAGGUUAGGUUUAAGGUUUAGGAUUACAUUUAGGGUUAGGGUUCAGGUUAAGGUUAGGUUUAAGGUUUAGGAUUACAUUUAGGGUUAGGGUUCAGGUUCAGGUUAGGUUUAAGGUUUAGGAUUACAUUUAGGGUUAGGGUUCAGGUUAAGGUUAGGUUUAAGGUUUAGGAUUACAUUUAGGGUUAGGGUUCAGGUUCAGGUUAGGUUUAAGAGGGUUUCUGUUUGUGCUGGUAUCAAACCUUGGGUUGCACAGGCUUAUUGCAACUUUCUGCUCUUUCUGUAUAUUGCAAAUCAGUGUUAAGGUUAGGGUUAGGGUUAGGAGUUAGGGGAAAUAGGAUUUUGAGUGGGAAUCAAUGGUUUGGUCCCCACAAGCAUAGUAAAAUAAAUAGGGAGGGCUACUGUGUGCGUGGGCAGGGCUCUGUGCAUGUGUGUGUGCGUGUGUGUGCGCAUGACCCCAUUGCUCUCCCCUGUAUGUGUAUGUGUGACAUUAGCAUGAGCAAUAAGGUUUGAGUCCUCGGUGUGUGUGCUGUAUAUAUUGGUGAUCUAGCAUAUCACACUCGCCCUUUCUCUCAGAGCUGACUUACUUAUGUACCUACUUGUAUGAAAGAGAUGAUUGUUCCUCUCCUGUCCGUCCUGUCCUCUCUAACCGAAUGGCCAUUGUGAAUACUGAAUACCUUUGAUGCCAUUUUGAAACUAUCCUCCUCUCUCCACCAGAGUUGACUACUUCAUUUGUCGUGGUUUAUCGUUCAAAGCAGCACCCACAUGAUGCCUGACCUUGAAAUGGGUUUAUUGUUACUUUUAUUGAGUGUUUAUUGAGGUUUUUAUAGAUACAUUGAUGAAUUUAUCCAAACUCCAAUGUUGUGUUUUGUCUUGUUUUAUGCAGCGUGGACAUGCUAAAGCAGAUUGACUGAGGGGAGAAGAAGAGGUCUUAUAUGAACACACUGAUAUUUGAGUCCAUUCCAUUUUGAUACAAAGAUGAUUUUCUUCUGAAUAUGGGGAUAAAACUGUGAUUAGACUUUUAUUUUGAAGGUCUCUGUUCAUUUGAAGUGCAUGUUGGUUUGCUACAGACAGUAUGACGUUUGUUUUGUUUCCUGAUUUGUACCACACAAGCCUCCAUACUUUACCAACAAAUGGGGGUUUGUUAUGGAAAAUGAAAUUCAAAGUGUAAAGGAAACUCCUGUACCAGUCUACCAAACAUGAUUGACUGAAAGUGUUUAUUGAGCUGUUGGGGUUUGACGCUCUAUGAUAAUUCUGUCUUGUCGUGACUGAUAACUCAGCUAUCACCGUAGCUAGAACACUCUCAGCGCUUGGCGGGGAUGGAAUCCUGUAACCAUUCCAAAUCAGUAUAACGAAAUCAGUGCAAAUGCAUUGAAUGACACUUUAAUAUCCAGCGAGCUGAUUUAACGAUAUUCUAUUUCUCAGCUGUGAGAUCUCGGGAGGUUUAAUCGAGAACUUGUCGUUUUCCUAAUGACGAUGGAUAUUUUUCUUUACGCUUUUACGUUUUCCAAGAUGGCUGACGUCGGUGAACUGAAUGUGGCUCUUGAGACUGCUGAAGCGAAUGCCACACCCCCUGCUCCAACCCCCGCCCCUUUCCCACCGUCCCGCCCCAAACCUGUCCACUCCACCAUCACUGCUUGACUAUGAUGUGACAUAUGCAACAAUUAUUUUUUUGUUCGUAAAGAUAUUCUUUGUAUCAGAGGGAGAGAGUGUGGGAGGGGGGCAAUAGGGAAACGCAAAUACAUAUUUUUUAAAAUAUCAAAUGAUGUUGAUAAAAUUAUAACUGUCUUUUUUUUCAUGUAAAAAGAAAAAAAGAAUGACAACUGUUGCUAGUGCACAUGUGCUGUAAAUUGUUCUUUGGUGUAGUAAAAAUCAUCAUGGUUUAGUCGUUUUUAAAAAUCAUUUACACCAACGGUUCUAGUGUCUUAUUUUAGUUAGCCUUCUGCUCCACCGCAUUUUAAGAACCAGCUUAAUAUUUUUCUAAAGGGAUUCUUUGAAAAAAUGCAUGCGUUUGCUGGAGAACUUUGAGUUUAGUGUUGCACAAGGACAGGCGUUGUCUCUGCCUGCAUCCCAAAUGGCACCCUAUUCCCUAUAUAGUGCACUACUUUUGACCAGGGCACACAAGGCCAUACGGCUCUGGUCAAAAGUAGUGCACUAUAUAGGGAGUAGGUUAUCAUUUGGGACACAGCCUCUGUCUUUCAGUUUCCAUGGCUAAGUGAAAAACUUUUGGGGUGAAGGAGUGUACUUAGGUCUUGUACAUGAGAUUAUGUAAAUUGAGGAAAUUAAAAUGAUAAUUAUAUGACGAUUACUUUUGAUCUGUUACAGCUCGUGUAUUUGAAUUAUUGAAAAGAUAUUAAAAAAAUAAAAUGCAAUUGUUUAGUCCGGUGCAGUGUCUAUGAGUAAAUAGAAUAAAUCAUUGUCCUA
ensembl:lncRNA